CAGAGAUCAUGCCCUCACGGGUAGACCUCCCACCCUGUGUUACUUACGUUUGUUGCUUUGGCAGGUCGCCUUCGGGCACUCGGCUCUCGCUGAGGUGCGCCUGCCAGAGGACCCACAACUCUGAAUGUUAGUGUCGUCUGAGUACUAUAUAAUAGUUA
rnacentral:misc_RNA from 1 species